UGCAGUCGAACGAGUUCUGAUUAUUGAAAGGUGCUUGCAUCUUGAUUUAAUUUUGAACGAGUGGCGGACGGGUGAGUAACACGUGGGUAACCUGCCCUUAAGUGGGGGAUAACAUUUGGAAACAGAUGCUAAUACCGCAUAAAUCCAAGAACCGCAUGGUUCUUGGCUGAAAGAUGGCGUAAGCUAUCGCUUUUGGAUGGACCCGCGGCGUAUUAGCUAGUUGGUGAGGUAACGGCUCACCAAGGCAAUGAUACGUAGCCGAACUGAGAGGUUGAUCGGCCACAUUGGGACUGAGACACGGCCCAAACUCCUACGGGAGGCAGCAGUAGGGAAUCUUCCACAAUGGACGCAAGUCUGAUGGAGCAACGCCGCGUGAGUGAAGAAGGCUUUCGGGUCGUAAAACUCUGUUGUUGGAGAAGAAUGGUCGGCAGAGUAACUGUUGUCGGCGUGACGGUAUCCAACCAGAAAGCCACGGCUAACUACGUGCCAGCAGCCGCGGUAAUACGUAGGUGGCAAGCGUUAUCCGGAUUUAUUGGGCGUAAAGCGAGCGCAGGCGGUUUUUUAAGUCUGAUGUGAAAGCCCUCGGCUUAACCGAGGAAGUGCAUCGGAAACUGGGAAACUUGAGUGCAGAAGAGGACAGUGGAACUCCAUGUGUAGCGGUGAAAUGCGUAGAUAUAUGGAAGAACACCAGUGGCGAAGGCGGCUGUCUGGUCUGUAACUGACGCUGAGGCUCGAAAGCAUGGGUAGCGAACAGGAUUAGAUACCCUGGUAGUCCAUGCCGUAAACGAUGAAUGCUAGGUGUUGGAGGGUUUCCGCCCUUCAGUGCCGCAGCUAACGCAUUAAGCAUUCCGCCUGGGGAGUACGACCGCAAGGUUGAAACUCAAAGGAAUUGACGGGGGCCCGCACAAGCGGUGGAGCAUGUGGUUUAAUUCGAAGCAACGCGAAGAACCUUACCAGGUCUUGACAUCUUUUGAUCACCUGAGAGAUCAGGUUUCCCCUUCGGGGGCAAAAUGACAGGUGGUGCAUGGUUGUCGUCAGCUCGUGUCGUGAGAUGUUGGGUUAAGUCCCGCAACGAGCGCAACCCUUAUGACUAGUUGCCAGCAUUUAGUUGGGCACUCUAGUAAGACUGCCGGUGACAAACCGGAGGAAGGUGGGGAUGACGUCAAAUCAUCAUGCCCCUUAUGACCUGGGCUACACACGUGCUACAAUGGAUGGUACAACGAGUUGCGAGACCGCGAGGUCAAGCUAAUCUCUUAAAGCCAUUCUCAGUUCGGACUGUAGGCUGCAACUCGCCUACACGAAGUCGGAAUCGCUAGUAAUCGCGGAUCAGCACGCCGCGGUGAAUACGUUCCCGGGCCUUGUACACACCGCCCGUCACACCAUGAGAGUUUGUAACACCCGAAGCCGGUGGCGUAACCCUUUUAGG
rnacentral:rRNA from 1 species